UGGCGCAUCGUCUAAUGGUAGGACAGCGGACUCUGGAUCCGCCAGUCAAGGUUCGAAUCCUUGUGCGCCAG
rnacentral:tRNA from 1 species